UUUAAUGAGAGUUUGAUCCUGGCUCAGGACGAACGCUGGCGGCGUGCCUAAUACAUGCAAGUAGAACGCUGAUGUUUGGUGUUUACACUAGACUGAUGAGUUGCGAACGGGUGAGUAACGCGUAGGUAACCUGCCUCAUAGCGGGGGAUAACUAUUGGAAACGAUAGCUAAUACCGCAUAAGAGUAAUUAACACAUGUUAGUUAUUUAAAAGGAGCAAUUGCUUCACUGUGAGAUGGACCUGCGUUGUAUUAGCUAGUUGGUGAGGUAAAGGCUCACCAAGGCGACGAUACAUAGCCGACCUGAGAGGGUGAUGGGCCACACUG
rnacentral:rRNA from 1 species